UACCUAUAAAGAGUGUGCGAGAGACAAGCUCAUUGACCACACAGCAACCUACCAAUGGCAAGGUGCUAAAGCUUGAAUGAUAGGAU
rfam:Eubacterium cylindroides T2-87 draft genome.